rnacentral:rRNA from 1 species
CCUACGGGUGGCAGCAGUGAGGAAUAUUGGUCAAUGGGCGAGAGCCUGAACCAGCCAAGUCGCGUGAAGGAUGACGGCCCUACGGGUUGUAAACUUCUUUUGUCAGGGAGCAAUUGGGUCCACGCGUGGGCUUAGCGAGAGUACCUGAAGAAAAAGCAUCGGCUAACUCCGUGCCAGCAGCCGCGGUAAUACGGAGGAUGCGAGCGUUAUCCGGAUUUAUUGGGUUUAAAGGGUGCGUAGGCGGUAUUUUAAGUUAGUGGUAAAACGUCGGGGCUUCACCUUGAUUGGCCAUUAAAACUGGAGUACUAGAGUACAGACGAGGUAGGCGGAAUAAGGUAAGUAGCGGUGAAAUGCUUAGAUAUAACUUAGAACCCCGAUAGCGAAGGCAGCUUACCAGACUGUUACUGACGCUGAAGCACGAGAGCGUGGGUAGCGAACAGGAUUAGAUACCCUUGUAGUC